GAUCACAGGCGAUGAAGGACGUAGUAGCCUGCGAAAAGCUGCGGGGAGCUNGCANACNANCUUUGAUCCGCAGAUGUCCGAAUGGGGAAACCCGGCCCGUAUGGGUCAUCUGUUACUGAAUACAUAGGUAACAGAAGCGAACGCAGUGAACUGANACAUCUAAGUAGCUGCAGGAACAGAAAUCAACCGAGAUUCCCAAAGUAGUGGCGAGCGAAAUGGGAUCAGCCUUGUACUCUUUAGCAGUANUGUUAGCAGAACGGAANNUGCCAGCANCCGCGGUUACACGAAUGGGUCGAGUUACGAAAAUAUCGGUAUAAAAGGUGGUUAAGCAUAUAUACGCAUUAGAGUAUAAGAAGGAACAUAUGGGCUAACUCUAUGGGUAAAAUUUGUACGUUAGUUCUUUAACCGCAGGCUCCUAUACAAGCUGAAGCCGCGAAACUGUUGACUGAAACCAGGAUUAGAUACCCUGUUAUCAACAGAGUAAAUAAGAUUUUUAGUUUACCAGGGAAUUAUGAGCAUUAAACUUAAAACUCAAAGAACUUGGCGGUACUCUGGAUCCGGCUAGGGGAACCUGUCCCGUAAUCGACAAUCCGCGCAGUACCUUACCCUUUUUAGUAUAAUUCAGUCUGUAUACCGUCGUUGACAGGCAACCCCCUGAGGGAGGAGACGUUGGCUAGAGGGGUAAAAAUAUUCCGGGACAUCAGAUCAAGGUGCAGCUUAUAAGAGGGUGGAGAUGGGUUACAAUUUGUGAUUUAAAAAUAUGAAUGCCUAGUUGAAACACUAGGUUGAAGGCGGACUUAGAAGUAAUAUGGCUAGUGAUAAUGAGAUUGUGAAUCGGGACUUGGAGUGUGCUCAAAUCGCCCGUCGCUCUCGUUGAAAAAUGAGAUAAGUCGUAACAUAGUAAGGGUAAUGGAAAUUGCUCUUGACUGAGGGUUG
rnacentral:rRNA from 1 species